ACCCUCUCCCUCCCCCGGUCCCUUGUGCACACCCUCUCCCUCCCCCUGCCCCUUGUGCACACCCUCUCCCUGCCCCCUGCCCCUUGUGCACACCCUCUCCCUCCCCCGGUCCCUUGUGCACACCCUCUCCCUCCCCCGGUCCCAUGUGCACACCCUCUCCCUCCCCCUGCCCCUUGUGCACACCCUCUCCCUCCCCCUGCCCCUUGUGCACACCCUCUCCCUGCCCCCUGCCCCUUGUGCGCACCCUCUCCCUCCCCCUGCCCCUUGUGCGCACCCUCUCCCUGCCCCCUGCCCCUUGUGCACACCCUCUCCCUCCCCCUGCCCCUUGUGCACACCCUCUCCCUCCUCCUGCCCCUUGUGCACACCCUCUCCCUCCCCCUGCCCCUUGUGCACACCCUCUGUACCCCCGUUCCCGCCCCAGCCUGUGUUUGCAGUGCUACAGGGUGGCUGCAGCCUUCGCCUCCCACAGCUCCUCAAGGUCAGAGGGCUGGGAACCCCUGGGAUGUGGCUGGGAUGAGGACCCUGCCCCUCGUCAGGCAUUUCCGGGCAAGGGGCACAGAGACACAGCCAGCCCAGCAGCUGAGUCCCUCCUAUCAGGCCAGGUGGGAAACUGAGGCAUGAACACAACCCCAGACUGGAAAUAACAAAGCCGUCAUGUACUGUGCGCCUACUGAAUGCCAAGCCCUAUGCCCUAUUCUUUAAUGUCAUCUUUAAUGAGAUGUCUUCACUCAGUUCACCACAUGAUAGUAGACAGGUAUUUAUGAUGCACCUACUGCAUGCUGGGCACUUUUCUGGGCCAUGAGGACUCAGGGAGGUCCCUGCUCUGGUAGAAGUCAAACCCGACAGGAGACAGAGAUUAGGGCCCCACACACCAGGAGGAAGAACCCAGUGCAGAGAGUGCCAGCAGGAAGCCACAGGGGCAGGGAAGGCGCUCCUGGGAGGGUGGGUGGCUGCAUCCUGAGGCUGAGCAGGGGGAGCUGGCCUCGGGACAGGAUGUGCGCAGGCGUGGAGCAGGAAGUUCCUGGAAUGAUGGGCAAGAGGGAGCAGGUCACUGGGGGCAGGUCUAAAUACUGGGGGCUGCAUUGGGAUAGCAGAGGCCUCGGGCAGCUCAGCAUGUAGACUCCCCUCCCUGGCCCCUUCCCUAGGAUGACAGUGGAGGUCCAUCCCCAGGUGGUGGUGAGGACACUCCUGACACAGAGACCCCAGCCCAGCUGGCAGGGGAAGGGGAGCCCCCAAGGACCCCUGUAUGUUGGGGCGUGUCCCGCCAGGCGGCCCUCCGUGGUGCCCAGCAGCAGCCCUGCUUGCGGACCCUCUUUAGUCCCCACUGUUAAAAAAAUAAUUCAGUGAAAAGUGACACUAGCUGGGCAUGGUCGUGGGUGCCUAUAAUCCCAGCUACUCGGGAGGCUGAGACGGGAGAAUCGCUUGAACCAGGGAGUCGGAGGUUGCAGUGAGCCGAGAUGGCGCCACUGCACUCCAGCCUGGGUGACAGAGUGAGACUCCGUCUCAAAAAGAAAAGAAAAGAAAAGAAAGAAAAAUGACACUUGCUAAAGCUCUGUAGGGAAGACUAUCCAGGACCGUGUCACUAGGUAUAAGGGACCAUGGCGAUGAGAUUCUGCAGUGGGUAAGAGACUGGGCUCAGCCUCGAAGACAGCAAGGGCAAGUGGGAUCGGACAGUCAAGGAGCAGGGUAGGGGGCAGCGCAUGGAAAGUGACUAAGAGGAAGCAUCAGCAGCCAGGGAUUCUGGCUUAACUCCCCUAACAGGAUUCUUGCUGAAGGCCAGCCAGGAUGGCCAGACCGCACCUGGGGGACAGAGGGGGAACCCGAUCAGAUGUCAAGGAUGGGGGGCUUCUUGCUAAACUGACUUUGCAGAAUUCUUGCUAAAACCAGAGUUUAUAAGGAAGUGCUCAGAUGUGCCUAGGGGAAGGCUCAGGAGCCUAAAUAAAGUUUGACCAAGCAGAGAAUCUUUGUCACCAGCUUGGUGAGAGUGAGGCCCAGAGUGGGUCAGGGCUUACCUGCUCAGGUUGUGCAACUGGGAGGGGUCCAUCAGGAGCCUGGAGUCUUCCCACUGGGGGCUGAGUCUGGGCCCUCAGGGCACAUAUAGGUAGAUGCUGGCAGGCCCAACACCCCAUGCAGUGCAGACUGGGAUGCUGGUGCCUGUGGCACAGACUGGUCAGACCCACCCCAGGCUAGACAUUCCUUGCAGGGAGAGCUGAGGCUGUUGAUGCCAGGAACAGACAAACAAGGUGAUCACCAGGUAAUGAGCUCGUUACCCACAUCAGGCAAGGCCAUUGCUGGGUAAUCAUUUGGCCUCCUGCAGAGCCACCUGCCCUGGGAUGGUUCCCAGAGAUCUGGCUAGCCAGUGCCACAGGAGGCCGGGGCACAGUUCCAGGGCCUAGUGGGCAAGGCAGGGGUAUUCAGGGACAAGGUGUACCUGAGUCCCCACAGGAAGCCCCAGACCCUGCAGUAAGACCUGGAACAAGUCAUUCUCCUCUCUGAGCUCUCAAAGAAGAGGUCAGCUCAGGGGUCUGGGAGGCAAGGUCUCCUAGAGUAGACUAAGCUGGCCGCUGCCAUGGUAACACACACCCUCCCAGCCAGCCGCUGGUCCUGACAGAUGAGGAAACUGAGGCUAGGUGUUUUCAUGAAGCCUCUGAACCCAGAACCCAGUACCCAGUGUCCUGAGCAAAGCCCAAGCCAGACCUGCCAGCUUAUGUGUACAGAGGCCCCACUAUGCAGCCUGCACUCCUGGGGCCUAAAAGGACCAUCACCUCCCCUUCUAAGAGGCUGGGCACAGGGGCUGGGCCCCAGCCAGGUCAACCUUCCUCCUCCUCCAAAGGCCCAGCAGCAGCUGCUCCCAGAGCAAGCAGCACAGUCGCAGCAAAGGUUGGACAAGUGUCCUGUGCUCUGUGGUCUGAGCAGAGGGCCAGGGGCCGUGACCCACAUGGCCCCUCCAGGACCAGCUCCAAGAUGAGCCUUCCUGUCCCGACCAGCGUGUCCGGGACCUCAGGGUGGAUCAGCCGCACCUGCCGGCUGCUCCUGUUCCUUGCUCUUCCUGGGGCUCCCCACCACCUUUGGGAGGCAGCUCCAAGACCCUGCUGCCUCCCUUGCUUACCCUCAGGCCCCUGCUGGGUGUGCCCCCUCCCCACACAGACCCCUGAGCCAGCUUCGAGGACUCUGCCUGCAUCUCUACAUCCACUCUGAUGACCGUAAAGCUACAGUCACACUCUCUGCCUCCACCCCCGCCCUGCCGGGUCCCUGCAGCAGCUCUCAGAGGCCCCCAUAGCCCCCUCCCACACACAGAGCUCGCCUGGCCCUGCCGUCUGAGCGCUCCCCUGGCUCCCAACUGCCCUUGGGCUCUGGGACAUAAAACCUCCAGCCAAGGUGGCUGCCAAGUUUUAUUUAAUAGCCAUAGAGCACAAAAGGGAUGACAAUUAAGUCACACGGAGAGACUGCCCCAUCGGGACCCCUGGCCAAGCUAAGCAGAGGAGCCCUGGGGUUUCCUCUGACCCCCCACUGUGAAUGCAUUGCUGAGGGGCAAGGUGGCCAGUUGCCCACCCAGCCUGCACAUCUGCAUGCACAGAGCUACAGCCUGGGCCCAGGGACAGCCGCGGGAGCCGGUGGCUUCCCACAGGCACAGCCAGCCUCCCCACCCCCACCGUGCCUGGCCCCCGGCCCAGGGCACACUGAGGGGAACAGGAGGGGAAGGAGCAGGCCCUGCACUGGAGCCUCAGUCAGCUCCUCUGUGCCAGGGGCAGCUGGGGCUGGCUGAAUUUGAGGAACUUCCCGGAGGAACUGGAGAGCAGACCUGUGUGCGUGCCCCGCUCUGCCACGCUCCCUGAGGGACAUACUGCUUUGGCCGGCCCCCCACCCCAUCUCCUCUCCGCCAGUCCCCGGUGUCCACCCCAGCCCCGCUACCGAUGAAGCUCAAGCCAGGGUCCCCACCACCUGCUUCACGGCCAUCCCUGCACUUGAGCUCAGGGGCUCAAGGUUGUGCUGACACGCCUGCCUGUCCACCCCUCACCGACACCUCUGCAGUCCUCCUCAGGGCCCAAUAGGGUCCCCAGGACCCCGCUCCCAUUCUGCCCUUGCUCCUGCCAACCUGUCUUCUCUAUGCCCAUGACUUUGGGACCCUCUGCCACAAGUGCCAGCCCCCACAUCUGUAGCCCCUGCAGGAACAAGCCCUAAUCUGGACUCAUUGCAAUGGCUCAGGUUCUCUUCCAGCCUGUCCAUAAACCUCCAGGCAGAGAUCACAAAACUAACAGCUCUUUCUGCAAAUCUGGAGUCUCUCUUGCACCUUCUUCACCAUCCAGGCCUCCCUGUCACUCCUCCUGGGGACCUCAGAGAUCUCUUCAUUUCACAGGUGAAGACUUGCCUCAGAGAGGGCACAGCCCCUGGGUCACACAGCCCGUCUCCAGCAGGGCUGGGGAAAAGAACCCAGGGCGCUCUUGUUGGCAGUGUUUUAAUGACUGGGGGGAGGGAGAGAAUGGCUAAUGAGGCUCUAGGGAUCAGCAGAGCCAGCUGCUGGAGGUCCCAGAGGACGGGUGACUCAGCAGGAAUGGGGGAGUCUGAGGGGUUGACAGAGUGCCCAAUUCUCACCUCCUCCUGCACCUUCCAGAGAGACGAGCUGCAGGGAGUGAUGGAGUGGAUGAACAUGACUAGAGGGACCCAGUCUUCUCCUCAGCAGCUGCUUGAGGACAGUAUUAGCGGUCCCCUCAAUCCCCCCCCCACACAUGCACACAUGCACUGACCUGCAGGGGCCAGACCCCAGUGGACCCGGGGACACAGCUUCCAGGGGCUGUCUUGCCAUGUCCCUUCCCAGACCUGCCUGGAUUCAUGCCAGGCCACCCUCCACAAUUUGCUGAGGGAGGCCCCAGGGUCCAGGGCACCCAGAGUGCUAACUAGCCCCUGGGGGUACAGGGAGAACAGCAUGCUGUGUGGGGGAUACUACUCUGCCCAUACCUAGGGCCCUGUGGCGGCCACAGGCAGCACUGCUUAUGCAGAGGCACUGGGGUGAGAAGGAGUAGGGUGCAGUAGUGAGGGCUCCACAGAGGGUGGAAGGGCUGCAGGGGAAGGCAGACCAGCAGGGAUGCCAUGAGGGCCUCAGAUGCCAGGCUGCAGAGGUGGACGGGCGGGCCAGCUCCUCUCCCCAGCCUCCUACUGUAAAAUGGGAGAGGAUCCCAGCCCUGCUGAUUCAUCCACUCACUCCAUGGCAAGACAGCCACUGACAGCUGUGUCCUGGGGCCCACCCGGGCCUGGCCUCUGUGCAGGCUAGCACUCAGCAUGCUUAGUGCCACACUCGGCCCAGGAGAAAUGACCCAGCCCUGGGCUCAGAGACCCCACAGUGGGUGGAUGGAAAACAGAGUCGUUUAAAUAUAACUGUGAAGGGUGCUGUGGAGGAGGGGCUCGAGGUCCCCAGUGUGGGAUGGGGUGGUCAUGGAACGUUUCCCUACCUAAGUGGGAAAAGUGAGAGCCACCAGGAAAACGGCGGGGGUGGGGGGGAGAGGAACUGUGCAAAGACCCAGAAGGAUGAAGAAGACUGUUUGGAUUAGAGGAGGUUAAAGACACAGACAGGCUUGGACAUGGCGGCUCAUCCCUGUAAUCCCAGCACUUUGGGAGGCCAAGACAGGAGGAUCACUUGAGGCCAGGAGUUCAAGACCAACCUGAGAAACACAGUGAGACCCUAUCUCUACAAAAAUAAAAAUAAAAAUAAAUAAAAAAAAAUUAGCGGGGCAUGGUGGUGCACACUUGUAGUCCCAUCUACUCAGCAGACUGAGGUGGGAGGAUCGCUUGAGCCCAGGAGGUGGAGGCUGCAGUGAGCUAUGAUUGCACCACUGCACUCCAGCCUGGGCAACACAGCAAGAUCCUGUUUAUAAAAACAAAACAAAACAAAAAACCCAGCUUGAGAUGGCCAGGGAUUUCCAGAGGCCCUAGGCGGGCCGCCUUGGAGAGUAAGGGAGACCCUGAAGAGCUCGCAUGGAAGGACCAGCAGCUUGGGGCUGGAGAUGCCACCUGGAUGGAUUCCUCCAGCUGUGUGGACUAGGGGACAGGGUGAGGAGAUAAUGGCCUGGACUACAUGGAAGAAUGUCGCCCUGAGCCAUUCAUUGAAAAGGGCUGUGGGGUCCAUGACCACUCCUGGCCUUCCCUUGACUAUGAUGGAGACAGUAGCUUCCAGUGUAAAAUGUGAGCUCAGUUCCUGUCUCGUGUCUAGCGGGUGGUGCCUGGUCUUUGGCUGGCGAUGCUCCAUGUCACCUAUGCCCAGAAACUGGGCCAUGCCCUUUGUGAGGACCUGCCCACAACGUCGUUGUUCCCACAGGGUCCCCGGGGAACCGGGCUGCCCGGGACCCGGCCCUGCCGGGGUUCCCUGCGCCCCAGACCGGAACCGCCAGGGCUUUGGUCGUUCCCACAGGCGUCCCGCGGGCCCCCUCCACGGUGCGUCGCCUGGGCCCCAGCGGUCGCUAGGCUGCAGCCUGGGGCUCCCAGCCAUCCCGGGCGCUGGCGGCGGUGGAGGCAGCAGGGCGAUGGCGGAGCCCGGCCGCCCGUGGGCCCAGGCGCGUAGUGCGUACAGAGCCAGCGAGGUGCUGCGGCGCGGCACGGGCCGCCGGCGGUACCCGGGGCCGCAAUCCAAUGGGCCGGGCCAGGAAGACGCCCGAGCCCCGGGCCGGCUGGCUCGCCUGUGCGGCCAGCUCCGGGCCGAAGCGGCUUCGCGGUCCGAGGUGCCGCGGCUGCUGAAGCUGGUGGAGCGUGCAGGGGCCGGGGCGGCGGGCGCGGGCGAGAGGACCGGCGCGCACAGCCGCGGCUCCGUGUGCUCGGUAUGCGGGGAGCCCCGCGGCGGGGCCACCUACCCGGCGGGGGUCCUGGAGGUGAGCGAGCGGAGGCUGCAGGAGGGCCUGGCGGCAGUGCGCGAGGAGCUGGGCGCCGGGAUUGAGGCGCUGCGCGCGGAGCUUCGAGCGGAGCUGGACGCCCUGCGCGCGCUGCUGCCGCCGCCGCCGUCCCCGCCUGCCCGCCGCGAGCCUCGCGCCGCGCCCCGCGGCCCGACCCUGCUGCGGACGCUCGGCACCGUGAGCGCCCUGGUCGCCGCCUCCAGGCCCGCAGACGACGCCCCGGACGGCCCAGCAGAAUGCGGAGCGCACCGAGCCCCGGCCAGGAAGAACCACAAGAAGAUGCCAGUGCCGCCUGGGGCCCCACAAGGUGGCGGGGACUGAGGGCGGCCGCACAAGGGCAGCCUAGGCGAGGUGCGGAAGGCGUCGCGCUGGCUACUCUGGUACCCCCAGGCCGGGGCAAGUCUCAGGAGGCAGGGUCUCCACGCACUGGAAUAGUGUCAAACCACACACAAGGGCACAGAACCCAGGGACACAGGGCGGUUGAGACACGCAGCUGGUGAUGGCCCUCAGGACGGUGUCAACCAGUAUGUAAUCACAUUCCACACGGCACCAACUGGACAGCGGCCUCCGGUCAGCCUCACUCUGACAGCAACCCCUUCUCACUGGACAGCAUCACCUGGACACAGAGCCUCACCUAGUCUGUGUCCCGUGGACCCAACUUUGCUUUGGACGGUGACACCAAGAAUACUCACCCCUUUACUUAGCCAGACCACAGGCAGCCACCUGGACACAAACAUCUCUCCAGAGUCACCCUCCACGCCGACUCCACAGCAGAACUCCCAGGGAGGCACUGGGGCAUGGCUUCAGAGCACCAGGCAGCCCUCCGCGGUGCCCAGCACCCGCUCAGCCAGGGCAGCCUGCAGCGGAGCCUGGAGCCAGCAGCUUCUCAUCUCUUGGCCUCGGGAAAUGUAGCUGGAGUCAUCAUUUAGCAGAGCACGGUGUCCCUGGGUUGGCCACCCAGCUUAGUUUUAAAAUAAAAUAAUGUAAUCUUGG